UACGUAGGGGGCAAGCGUUGUCCGGAAUCAUUGGGCGUAAAGAGCGUGUAGGCGGCUCGAUAAGUCCGCUGUGAAAGUCCAGGGCUCAACCCUGGAAGGCCGGUGGAAACUGUCGGGCUAGAGUCCGGAAGAGGCGAGUGGAAUUCCCGGUGUAGCGGUGAAAUGCGCAGAUAUCGGGAGGAACACCGGUGGCGAAGGCGGGGUCUCUGG
rnacentral:rRNA from 1 species